CCUACGGGAGGCAGCAGUGGGGAAUCUUCCGCAAUGGGCGCAAGCCUGACGGAGCAACGCCGCGUGAAUGAAGAAGGUCUUCGGAUCGUAAAGUUCUGUUCUUAGGGAAGAAGUCUUAGGUUGUGAAUAAUGACUUAAGGUGACGGUACCUAUGGAGAAAGCUCCGGCUAACUACGUGCCAGCAGCCGCGGUAAUACGUAGGGAGCGAGCGUUGUCCGGAAUUACUGGGCGUAAAGGGCGCGUAGGCGGGAACUUAAGUUAGAUGUGAAAGUCCGCGGCUCAACCGUGGAAUUGCAGUUGAAACUGGAGGCCGUGAGUGCACACAGGGAUGCCGGAAUUCAUGGUGUAGCGGUGAAAUGCUUAGAUAUCAUGAAGAACUCCGAUCGCGAAGGCAAGUGUCCGGGGUGCAACUGACGCUGAGGCUCGAAAGUGCGGGUAUCAAACAGGAUUAGAUACCCGUGUAGUC
rnacentral:rRNA from 1 species